rnacentral:snoRNA from 1 species
CCGACGUGUUAGUGAGACGUGACUUUCGGGUUGUGUCUCACUAGAGUGGUGUGUAGCUGCACCAUGCAGUGAUGGGCCCACAACGUCGCAGAUUAUACCUCACUCCCGUUUGGUUGAGUGAGGACUCGGCAUAUUCCAUAGCCAAACUGGAGCCAUUCAGGCUGUGAAGGUGGCCAAACCAUGCUGUGGACAAAA